GGGGCUAUGUUCAAAGCAUGGUUGGUUUAUCAUACAUUUGUAACUGGUGGUAGGAUAUAUACAUGUAGUAAUGCAGUGUUGAAUACUGAUUCCCCUCUCCCUAAAUUGAUAGGGAUAAAAUAAUUAAAAUUCUUUCACUAAAUCUCAAUAAUAGGGCAAAAGUGAAAAAAUCAAUCUAAGCACACUAUUGGUUCUGCUCUGUCAGACAUGUUUUCUGCUCUUUGAUAGGGUUGUCUCUUUAACACCUUGCCC
rnacentral:lncRNA from 1 species